rnacentral:rRNA from 1 species
GCAAGUCGAGCGCCUCGCAAGGGGAGCGGCAGACGGGUGAGUAACGCGUGGGAAUCUACCCUUUCCUUACGGAAUAACACAGAGAAAUUUGUGCUAAUACCGUAUACGCCCUUCGGGGGAAAGAUUCAUCGGGGAAGGAUGAGCCCGCGUCGGAUUAGCUAGUUGGUGGGGUAAUGGCCCACCAAGGCGACGAUCCGUAGCUGGUCUGAGAGGAUGACCAGCCACACUUGGGACUGAGACACGGCCCAAACUCCUACGGGAGGCAGCCAGUGGGGAAUAUUGGACAAUGGGCGCAAGCCUGAUCCAGCCAUGCCGCGUGAGUG